ACCUGCAGGGGCUCAGUGCGUGCUGCUGGGAAACCAGCGCGCGUUGGGUGUUGAUGCUGGUGUGUGUUUUCUUUCAGGGAAGAUCGUGACUAUCUGAAAAGUGCAAGAAAAAACUCCCCCCCCCCCCCCCCCCCCGGCAUCUAAGCAAGCCAGCGCAGGGAGAGGCAGGAAGGCGUCUCUUCUGACAGGCUACCAUAAUUGGUCUGCAGCUCAUGCAUUCAGAAGGGGAACAAUGUAAACCAAGAGUCACAUCAGGGAAGCAAAGAGCUUCUCUACAAAAUGAAGACUUGACAGUUACAGAUAAAAGCCACGUUGAGCAUUCAAGAGUGAGCCCAAAUGGGAGCAGCAGUAGGUCUCUGAAAAGAAGAGGAACCUGUUGCUGUUGCCGUAAAGAGUGACUGUCAAGAUGUUUAGAGAGGUGGGAGUGAGCAUGUGAGUAGUCUCGUAACUCAAAUGGGACUUCCCGUGAAGAAGUUUUUGCACAGUAGGAGCCUAGUAAGAUAAACAUGAAAAGCGGGAAGGAUGACAUGGAUUGCUAGUUUCCUCUUACCCUUUUUAUUAAAAUAUUAUUUAAAAAUGAA